rnacentral:tRNA from 1 species
GCCGACGUAGUGUAAUCGGCGAUCAUACGGUCCUGUCACGGCCGUGAUCCGGGUUCAACUCCCGGCGUCGGCG